UGGGGAAUAUUGCACAAUGGGGGAAACCCUGAUGCAGCGACGCCGCGUGAGCGAAGAAGGUUUUCGAAUCGUAAAGCUCUGUCCUAUGAGAAGAUAAUGACGGUAUCAUAGGAGGAAGCCCCGGCUAAAUACGUGCCAGCAGCCGCGGUAAUACGUAUGGGGCGAGCGUUGUCCGGAAUUAUUGGGCGUAAAGGGUACGUAGGCGGUCUAUUAAGUCAGGUGUGAAAGCGUGAGGCUUAACCUCAUUAAGCACUUCAAACUGAUAGACUUGAGUGAAGGAGAGGAAAGUGGAAUUCCUAGUGUAGCGGUGAAAUGCGUAGAUAUUAGGAGGAAUACCGGUGGCGAAGUCGACUUUCUGGACUUUUACUGACGCUCAGGUACGAAAGCGUGGGGAGCAAACAGG
rnacentral:rRNA from 1 species